rnacentral:rRNA from 1 species
CAGGUGAUCAGGUAGAGAAUACCAAGGCGCUUGAGAGAACUGCGUUGAAGGAACUCGGCAAAUUGCACGCGUAACUUCGGAAGAAGCGUGACCCUUUUGCGGGCAACCGCGGGAGGGUGGCACAGACCAGGGGGUAGCGACUGUUUAUCAAAAACACAGGGCUCUGCGAAGUCGCAAGACGACGUAUAGGGUCUGACGCCUGCCCGGUGCUCGAAGGUUAAGAGGAGGAGUGCAAGCUCUGAAUUGAAGCCCGAGUAAACGGCGGCCGUAACGAUAACGGUCCUAAGGUAGCGAAAUUCCUUGUCGGGU